UACGUAGGUCCCGAGCGUUGUCCGGAUUUAUUGGGCGUAAGGCGAGCGCAGGUGGUUUAUUAAGUCUGGUGUAAAAGGCAGUGGCUCAACCAUUGUAUGCAUUAGAAACUGGUAGACUUGAGUGCAGGAGAGGAGAGUGGAAUUCCAUGUGUAGCGGUGAAAUGCGUAGAUAUAUGGAGGAACACCGGUGGCGAAAGCGGCUCUCUGGCCUGUAACUGACACUGAGGCUCGAAAGCGUGGGGAGCAAGCAGG
rnacentral:rRNA from 1 species